rnacentral:rRNA from 1 species
CAGCCGUAAACGAUGCACGUUAGGUGUAUCGAUGACCACGAGUCAUCGAGGUGCCGAAGGGAAACCGUGAAACGUGCCGCCUGGGAAGUAUGGUCGCAAGGCUGAAACUUAAAGGAAUUGGCGGGGGAGCACCACAACAGGUGGAGCCUGCGGUUUAAUCGGACUCAACGCCGGAAAUCUCACCGGAUAAGACAGCUGAAUGAUAGUCGGGCUGAAGACUCUACUUGACUAGCUGAGAGGAGGUGCAUGGCGUAGACGUCU